rnacentral:rRNA from 1 species
AGAUUGAACGCUGGCGGCAGGCCUAACACAUGCAAGUCGAGCGGUAGAGUGGUGCUUGCAUCUCUUGAGAGCAGCGGACGGGUGAGUAAUGCCUAGGAAUCUGCCUAGUGGUGGGGGAUAACGUUCGGAAACGGACGCUAAUACCGCAUACCGUCCUACGGGAGAAAGCGGGGGACCUUCGGGCCUCGCGCCAUUAGAUGAGCCUAGGUCGGAUUAGCUUAGUUGGUGAGGUAAUGGCUCA